rnacentral:rRNA from 1 species
UGGCGGAUAGGUUCCUUCCGCCAGCCCCGCCAUUGUGUUUAUGAUAUCACUUUGAACGUUAAAGACUGAGAAUGUAUGUCUCACGCAUUAAAUGUAUGAGAAAGAAGGAAAGAAAAAUGAGAGACAACUUUUGACGGUGGAUCUCUUGGCUCACGUAUCGAUGAAGAACGCAGCCAGCUGCGAUAUGUAGUGUGAAUUGCAGAAUUCAAUGAAUCAUUGAAUCUUUGAACGCAAAUGGCGCUCUUGGGUUCUCCCAGGAGCAUGUCUGUGUGAGUGUCGGAUUUUAUCGAACGCACUCGUGAGUGCGGUAUUGAGGUGUCACGGCGUGUUAGCAAGCACGCAUUAAAUCGCCGUGUCCCUUGAAGGACAGCCGCAUUGGACUCGCAUUCUCUAUUGAAACUUGAGUGCGAAGGCUAAAGAUAAUAUUUUCUUUCGCCCACACACGCAAUAGCAGAAACAAAGUCCAAUCAAAGCGGUGACAGACAAUAAACAUCAAAUCUUGACCUCAGAUCAGGCAAGGCUACCCGCUGAAUUUAAGCAUAUUAAUAAGCGGAGGAAAAGAAACUAACAAGGAUUCCCUCAGUAACGGCGAGUGAAGCGGGAAUAGCUCAAAUUUGAAAUCUCCGACGCUUGCGUCGGCGAAUUGUAGUUGCGAGAAGCACUUUCUAGGCGGAUCGGUCGUGCCUAAGUUGCUUGGAACAGUACGUCAUAGAGGGUGACAACCCCGUCUGUGGCUCGGCCGGCCGCUCACGAUGAC